rnacentral:rRNA from 1 species
UACAGAGGUCCCAAGCGUUGUUCGGAUUCACUGGGGGUAAAGGGUGCGUAGGUGGUCGGGUAAGUCUGAUGUGAAAACUCCGAGCUCAACUCGGAAACUGCAUCGGAUACUAUUUGGCUAGAGGGUUGGAGGGGGGACUGGAAUACUUGGUGUAGCAGUGAAAUGCGUAGAUAUCAAGUGGAACACCAGUGGCGAAGGCGAGUCCCUGGACAACUCCUGACACUGAGGCACGAAAGCUCGGGGAGCAAACAGG